UUGGCCUACGGGGCGCAGCAGUGAGGAAUAUUGGUCAAUGGGCGGGAGCCUGAACCAGCCAAGUCGCGUGAGGGAAGACGGUCCUAUGGAUUGUAAACCUCUUUAGGCGGGGAGCAAUGCCGGGCACGCGUGCCCGGAGGGAGAGUACCCGCAGAAUAAGCACCGGCUAACUACGUGCCAGCAGCCGCGGUAAUACGUAGGGUGCGAGCGUUAAUCGGAAUUACUGGGCGUAAAGGGUGUGCAGGCGGUUUUGCAAGAUGG
rnacentral:rRNA from 1 species